rnacentral:rRNA from 1 species
AACGCGAAGAACCUUACCAAGGCUUGACAUACACCGGAAUCACUCAGAGAUGGGUGCGUCUUCGGACUGGUGUACAGGUGGUGCAUGGUUGUCGUCAGCUCGUGUCGUGAGAUGUUGGGUUAAGUCCCGCAACGAGCGCAACCCUCGUCCUAUGUUGCCAGCGGGUUAUGCCGGGGACUCAUGGGAGACUGCCGGGGUCAACUCGGAGGAAGGUGGGGAUGACGUCAAAUCAUCAUGCCCCUUAUGUCUUGGGCUUCACGCAUGCUACAAUGGCCGGUACAAAGGGCUGCGAUACCGCAAGGUGGAGCGAAUCCCAAAAAGCCGGUCUCAGUUCGGAUUGGGGUCUGCAACUCGACCCCAUGAAGUCGGAGUCGCUAGUAAUCGCAGAUCAGCAACGCUGCGGUGAAUACGUUCCCGGGCCUUGUACACACCGCUACAGU